CCUACGGGGCGCAGCAGUGAGGAAUAUUGGUCAAUGGGCGGAAGCCUGAACCAGCCAAGUCGCGUGAGGGAAUAAGGCCCUACGGGUCGUAAACCUCUUUUGCCGGGGAGCAAGGGCGGGGACGUGUCCCGGCCCGGAGAGUACCCGGAGAAAAAGCAUCGGCUAGCUCCGUGCCAGCAGCCGCGGUAAUACGUAGGGGGCUAGCGUUAUCCGGAAUUACUGGGCGUAGAGGGUGCGUAGGGGGUUUCUUAAGUCAGAGGUGAAAUGCUACGGCUCAACCGUAGUAAGCCUUUGAAACUGGGGAA
rnacentral:rRNA from 1 species